GCUCUAGCAGCUGAUUCCCAGUUCUUCACCUCUGAUUGGAACCAUUGGCUAGCUCUGAAUCUCUCAGGAAAAUUCAUGGAUCACUUGGGAAUGGAUUGGAGUCGUUUCUUCGUUGCAGCCAUCUCAACCAUUUGGAGAGUGCGUAAUGACGUGGUGCUUAACGAUGCUUCUCAUUCCACCUCUCGUAUUUGGAGCUUCCUUCGUGCCCUGGGCAUAGAAGAUAUGGCAAUAACGGCGACCUUGAACCCCUUGGUCAGUUUUCUUCCAGUUCAAGGUGACAGCUCGCGUGGUGGGGAUAGUUCUCGUCAAAGUGUGCAACUUUGGAGCAGACCUCCUUCAGGUUGGCUCAAACUAAACGUCGACGGUGCUUUGGCUCUCAACAACCUUGCUAGUUGCGGUGGUGCCCUCCGAGACGCUGACGGGGGUGGAAGCUAGGCUUUACUCGCAACCUUGGCACGAUGCUAAUCCUGAGUGCUUUUCUUGUGGAGCUCCUUGCUGUUCACUCAGCUAUGGACUUGAUUAUCAGCAGAUAUCUUCAAAGAGUUAUAGUUGAGAGUGAUUCCCGUGAGGUGGUAGACCUGCUACUUAGUCAGGACGUUUCAUCCCAUCAGUAUGAACAUAUUGUUCAGGGCAUCCUUCAGUUUCAAUCAGCUCAUGGGUCUAUUACAUUUUGUCAUGUCCCUAGGAUUUAUUAAUUAAACAUGUCAUAAUUAAAUUUGUAUAUAAAAAUAUUUAAAUAAAAAUCUAUUUAUCUAUAUCUAUAUUUAUCUAUCACUGUGGAGCCUUGCCCUCCAUCUGUCCGUUCGGUUUGACGGAAGAUGAGAGAAGCGGCGGGGAGAGGGAGGCGGCUGUAAUAGAAAGGGGAAGAGGGUUCAGAGUUCCUUCAACCUUGGUUAUAUCUGAAAUCCGACCGGAGCUCCUCUCUCUGCGACGAAUCUCCUCCCCUGAUUGUAGAUGUGUUUCAACCAGGACGACUUAGAGAGUCUCUUCUCUCAGUGAAGAUUCUGUUUUCGCCAAGGAGACACUGAAUCGUCUUCCACCCGUUCUUCAAAAGGGGGCAGGCAGAUGCAGCAAUAAUGUCCUCAUGAUGCUUUUAUUUUUGGUAUAUUCAUGCUUUUAUUUUAGAAGAUAGAGAGUCUCUCUCGGAAGAGAUUGUAGAGGUCGUGGCUCACUCAAUGUCUAGGUCUCAAAACCCUUUCCAUAUCAGAGAUGACAUGGAACCUUUGGAAGAGAUUCAAGCUGUGGAGAGGGCGGUUGAGGUUGAUCGCAGAGGGACACAGUAGGAGAUGAUGAGGAGAUCUGGGGCAAUGAAUUAAUCACUCCCACUAUCACUCCUAAAGAUAACAACAAUCUCAACCAAGAAAUUGAAACCACAUAAUGCCCCUCAUGCAGCCAUAACAUUGAAGUAAAAGAUUAGGUACUUAUUAAUUUAAGGUAUUGGAAAUCAAUUCAUAUCUUGGUUUCUUUUUAAUUCAAGAAAGCUUCUUUAAUUAACAUGAUUUCCAUGAUGAGUUUGCAAAAUACCAGUAUUGAAAAGAUUAAACCAAUUUAGUAUGUUGAUGAGUUUUGAAAUGCCCCAAACUAUUAUUGACUUCACAUCCUGCAUCAUCAUUGUAGUUUUUUCUCUCCCCUGUUAGUUUCAGAAUCAACCAGCAAAAUUCAUUCCUUUGGCAAAUACCAUUAUUUAUAUCCUUAUGUUGACUUAUAUAUUGUAUGAGUCUGAGUCACUUUAACUUCAUGACUUGAUGUCCACACAUGAAAAGAAGAGGUGGCCAGGUACAAAAUGGUGGAUCUGUUCAGAAAAAUUGUUGAAAUAUCUUUAAACUUUUUGUGUUCGUCAUGGGAGUGACAGACAUGGUGAGUUACUACACCUUUGUUUUUUUCCCUAUUUUAGUUUCGAUUUCAGAUUAGUUUACUGCAGAUUUAAACCAGCUCUCAGUUUUGAAACUCAAAUUCCUUGAACAUGACAUAAAGGGAUAACUCAAAAUAAUUAAGGAAUUGAGACAUUAUAAAGAAUUUAAUAAGAACUUGACAGCGGCUAUCAGUAAUAUGAAAAGAGUAAGAUGCAAAUCAGAUUGAUGGUGGUGCCAAGGUUUCGGGAAUCAUUAACAUACAGAUAUAGCAAUUUGGUUUAGUUAAAAGGUAGAAAAUGCACUCCACUUUAAAAAUUUUAACUUUUUCAUUCAAGUAUUGCCUGAAUCUUUCUUCUCUUUGUUUUUUAAGGAUCCUCUUUUGUUGGUUGAACAAUUUAUUUUGAUUUACACUGUUCUCAAUGAUUUAGGUAUGAAUAAUCUUAAUUGCAACAAGCUUUAUUAUUUCCAUGUUGCUUUUUCACUUGAUGUUUGUCUAAGAAUGUCUUAUAUCUUUUCUUCACCGUCUUGAAAUCACAUUGAUUAUUGGCCUAAUUUGUAAAUUGAUCAUGAGGGGCUAGCCUCGAAAUGUUCUCUCUCGCUCUCUCUAUGGGAAAAUAGUUCUUUCUGUUUGUAUCCAUUAAACAAAAUUAGAAUUGAUAUUUGACAUUUUGCAUUUUCCCCUUUUUAUUGAUGCCAAAGUUCAACCUUUUGCAGCUCUCUUCAAUCUCCUCCACAUGAUCCUUUGAAACUUUGUGGUUCUGUGCAAACCCGAACUGGUGAGAAGAUGACUCAGUUUGGGUUAUUGCUCAUACCUGCUAAGCUCUACACUUUAUUUUUAAUUAAUCAAUUAUUAAUCUUCAUUGCGUAAUCUACUUAAUUGUUUUCCAUUUUUUUGUUCCUGUCAAAGGUUACUGAGUUCAAAAUAGUUCUCACUAAUCAUAUAGCAUUUUUCUGAUCUUUUUGUUCUGGUGAUUUUCUUUUUCUGGUCAGAUAUAGAUAAUCCAAUAUGACUUUUGUGAUUUUUGCGUGAUUGUUGACUCAUUCGAAACCUUUUUCCUUUAUUUUCCAUUAUAUCUCAUAUGGGCUGGCUCUCUAUGCACUCAUGAAGAUGGUGGGAUUUGUGAAUUUUGUGCCGACUUCAGUUGAAACUGCGGAGAAAUCAAAGACACGGGGGGACACCUGGUCAUUUGAAGAACUGCAAAUGAAGGUGGAGAGCUAAUUGGAGUUUUUCGGUUCUUGGUUUUCAAUGUAAGACCUUCUGAAAGGAGCUUGGAUCCUUCAGGGUCCGUCUUAGUUUUUUAUACAUAAUAAUCUCAAAUUUUCCUUCAUAGAUCCAAGGCAUCUCUAUAUGCACCUGGUGGUCUCUAUCACAUUGUGGAGUGAAAGCACUUCAGGUUUAGUAUGAUGUUGUCCACUUCUUUCACAUGAGACUUGAUAGAGUAUUGAAGUUUUGUUGAAGUAUGGAAAACUAGAGAAAAAGUUCUCUCUUUCUUCAAAAGAUUUAAUCCAUUCCCCAGUAAGUUUUGCUCAAGUGUCCCUUGCUUACAUUAAUUUCUUCAAAAGAUUUAUAAGCAUUAUGUAUUUCACAUCCAUAGGAUGUAACGUGUUCUUCUUAAUUCUCAUAUAUUCCAUGCCUCUAAUUUUUUUCUUA